GAUGAAGAACGCAGCAAAAUGCGAUAAGUAAUGUGAAUUGCAGAAUUCAGUGAAUCAUCGAAUCUUUGAACGCACAUUGCGCCCGCUGGUAUUCCGGCGGGCAUGCCUGUUCGAGCGUCAUUUCAACCCUCAAGCCCCCGGGUUUGGUGUUGGGGAUCGGCUCUGCCCUUCUGGGCGGUGCCGCCCCCGAAAUACAUUGGCGGUCUCGCUGCAGCCUCCAUUGCGUAGUAGCUAACACCUCGCAACUGGAACGCGGCGCGGCCAUGCCGUAAAACCCCAACUUCUGAAUGUUGACCUCGGAUCAGGUAGGAAUACCCGCUGAACUUAAGCAUAUCAAUAAGCGAAGGA
rnacentral:misc_RNA from 1 species